rnacentral:lncRNA from 1 species
AAAAUGGGCACCGCUCCGCAGGGCUGGGCCGCGCAGGCUCGCGCUUAAUAUUCAAUGAUCUCGCUCGCACCUCCCCUCCGCUGCUCGCAAAUUCCACCGGGUCCGUUACUGGGCUCGGACUUCGAAGUUAACGCACGCCCGCCCGGCCGCAAACCGGGGCCUGAGGCCGCCCCCGCCCGCGGCGCCCCGCGCUGACCCCGCCGGCCGGAGGGGGCCGGGCUCACUUUGCAACUUUGUGCGGCGCCGGCCGCAGUGCCAGCUCGGUGGUAUCGUAUGCAAAUACGCAUGCUGACGUUACAGAUCAUGUGGGUUUUGGCGUAGAUUCCCCACUGAUCGGCAUUUUCCCCUCUUUUUCUUUCUUUUUUCUCUUUUUGCUUUUUCUUUUUAAAUUUUGGCCGCCGUCCUCGGAGCGGGCCUCUCUGCCCGAGCCCGGCACGCUGGCUGUCCCUCCGUUUCCCACGGAGCCCCGCGGGCGCCGGCCGGGGAGCGGGCCGAGGGUGGGGGAGCCAGCAGAGUUCCAUUUUGGAAGCCCGCGCUCGUCUCCGCGCGCCCAGCCCGGGUCCCCGCGUCCGCGCGCCCCCAGCCCCGGCGCCGCAGCCUGCCUAUUGCUCUGCCUUCCAUGUAUUGAUCCCAGUCAACUAUUUCCGUGUGGGUGAUGCGAGGAGCACCAGGCGGAGUCAAGGUUCUGCCUAACUCUUAUCAAUGAAAU